GGGCCUAUAGCUCAGACGGUUAGAGCGCACGCCUGAUAAGCGUGAGGUCGGUGGUUCAAGUCCACCUAGGCCCA
rfam:Deferribacter desulfuricans SSM1 DNA, complete genome.